rnacentral:rRNA from 1 species
CGAGGAAUUUUGCGCAAUGGGCGAAAGCCUGACGCAGCAACGCCGCGUGGGUGAUGAAGGCCUUCGGGUCGUAAAGCCCUUUUGUCGGGGACGAAGUGGUGACGGUACCCGACGAAGAAGCCACGGCUAACUACGUGCCAGCAGCCGCGGUAAUACGUAGGUGGCGAGCGUUGUCCGGAUUCAUUGGGCGUAAAGCGCGCGCAGGUGGUGCGGUAAGUCUGUCGUGAAAUCUCCCGGCUCAACUGGGAGGGUGCGGUGGAGACUGCCGGACUGGAGGCACUCAGAGGCCGGUGGAAUUCCCGGUGUAGUGGUGAAAUGCGUAGAGAUCGGGAGGAACACCAGUGGCGAAGGCGGCCGGCUGGGGGUGACCUGACGCUGAGGCGCGAAAGCGUGGGGAGCGAACCGGAUUAGAUACCCGGGUAGUCCACGUUGUAAACGAUGGCCACUAGAUGUGGGGGGUAUCGACCCCCUCCGUGUCGGCGCUAACGCAGUAAGUGGCCCGCCUGGGGAGUACGGCCGCAAGGCUAAAACUC